rnacentral:rRNA from 1 species
UAGUCCCUGGGAAGAUGCAGGUUACCCGCGACAGGACGGAAAGCCCCCCUGGAGCUUUACUGUAGUUUGAUAUUGAGUGUCUGUACCGCAGGUACAGGAUAGGUAGGAGCCGUAGAAAUCGGAACGCUAGUUUCGAUGGAGGCGCUGGUGGGAUACUGCCCCUGCGUUAUGGCCACUCUAACCCGCACCACUAAUCGUGGGGGGAGACAGGGUCAGAUGGGCAGUUUGCCUGGGGCGGUCGGCUC